rnacentral:rRNA from 1 species
CAGCCGCCGCGGUAAGACGAACCGUGCGAACGUUAUUCGGAAUCACUGGGCUUAAAGCGCGUGUAGGCGGGAGGGCACGUCCGUCGCUGAAAUCCCCCGGCUCAACCGGGGAACGGGCGCGGAUACGACUCUUCUGGAGGAACGUAGGGGGACCUGGAACUUCCGGUGGAGCGGUGAAAUGCGUUGAGAUCGGAAGGAACGCCCGUGGCGAAAGCGAGGUCCUGGACGUUUACUGACGCUGAGACGCGAAAGCCAGGGGAGCGAACGGGAUUAGAUACCCCCGUAGUCCCUGUCUCUUAUA